rnacentral:rRNA from 1 species
GAUGAACGCUGGCGGCGUGCCUAAUACAUGCAAGUCGAGCGAACGGACGAGAAGCUUGCUUCUCUGAUGUUAGCGGCGGACGGGUGAGUAACACGUGGAUAACCUACCUAUAAGACUGGGAUAACUUCGGGAAACCGGAGCUAAUACCGGAUAAUAUUUUGAACCGCAUGGUUCAAAAGUAAAAGACGGUCUUGCUGUCACUUAUAGAUGGAUCCGCGCUGCAUUAGCUAGUUGGUAAGGUAACGGCUUACCAAGGCAACGAUGCAUAGCCGAACUGAGAGAGUGAUCGGCCACACUGGAACUGGGACACGGUCCAGACUCCUACGGGAGGCAGCAGUAGGGAAUCUUCCGCAAUGGGCGAAAGCCUGACGGAGCAACGCCGAGUGAGUGAUGAAGGUCUUCGGAUCGUAAAACUCUGUUAGUAGGGAAGAACAUAUGUGUAAGUAACUGUGCACAUCUUGACGGUACCUAAUCAGAAAGCCACGGCUAACUACGUG